rnacentral:rRNA from 1 species
AGCGGCGGACGGCUGAGUAACGCGUGGGAACGUACCCCAAAGUGAGGAAUAACCGCUCGAAAGGGUGGCUAAUGCCGCAUAUGGUCUUCGGAUUAAAGGAUUUAUCCGCUUUGGGAACGGCCUGCGUACGAUUAGAUAGUUGGUGAGGUAAAGGCUCACCAAGUCUACGAUCGUUAACUGGUCUGAGAGGAUGAUCAGUCAGACUGGAACUGAGACACGGUCCAGACUCCUACGGGAGGCAGCAGUGAGGAAUCUUCCACAAUGGGCGAAAGCCUGAUGGAGCAACGCCGCGUGCAGGAUGAAGGCCUUCGGGUCGUAAACUGCUUUUAUAAGUGAAGAAUAUGACGGUAACUUAUGAAUAAGCACCGGCUAACUACGUGCCAGCAGCCGCGGUCAUACGUAGGGUGCAAGCAUUAUCCGGAGUGACUGGGCGUAAAGAGUUGCGUAGGUGGUUUGUUAAGUGAAUAGUGAAAUCUGGUGGCUCAACCAUACAGACUAUUAUUCAAACUGGCAAACUCGAGAAUAGCAGAGGUAACUGGAAUUUCUAGUGUAGGAGUGAAAUCCGUAGAUAUUAGAAGGAACACCAAUGGCGUAGGCAGGUUACUGGGCUAUUUCUGACACUGAGGCACGAAAGCGUGGGGAGCGAACCGGAUUAGAUACCCGGGUAGUCCACGCCGUAAACGAUGGAUACUAGCUGU